UACGGGGGGGGCAAGCGUUGUUCGGAAUUACUGGGCGUAAAGGGCUCGUAGGUGGUCUACUAAGUCGGACGUGAAAUCCCUCGGCUUAACCGGGGAACUGCGUCCGAUACUGGAUGACUUGAGUUCGGGAGAGGGAUGCGGAAUUCCAGGUGUAGCGGUGAAAUGCGUAGAUAUCUGGAGGAACACCGGUGGCGAAGGCGGCAUCCUGGACCGACACUGACGCUGAGGAGCGAAAGCCAGGGGAGCAAACGGG
rnacentral:rRNA from 1 species